GGAGAGAUGUCCGAGUGGUUGAAGGAGCACGCCUGGAAAGCGUGUGUAGGGGAAACUCUACCAGGAGUUCGAAUCUCCUUCUCUCCG
rnacentral:tRNA from 1 species